AUUUAGCCCUGAUUGCAACGGCAUCCUUUUUUUGUAAAAAAAAGAUAGAGUGGAAAGCAGGAAAAUGG
rnacentral:sRNA from 1 species